CAACUGGAGGAAAUGGAAGAUGAGCUGACCAUAGAGUUGUGGGGAGCGAGAGCAGCGGUAGUGGACAUAGAGGAGAGCGAUGCAAGUGAGGAAGAGAGAGAGGUAAAACUCCCUCUGGUGGCAAGCACUUUGUCACCAAGGAUAGUGGUCACAAGCAUUUCUUCAUCUGAUGUUAGAAGGGAACCAGCAGAUCAAUGUGCAGCAGGGGAAAUGAAUAGGCUUGCUGCCGUGGCAUCAGAGGACGAAGAGCUUAAUGAGUUGCAAGGGCGGGUGGGCAAUUUGUCUCCAAGGGGAGAAUCUAAUAAAGUAAGGAUGACUAGUGAUAGUUCAUCCUUUACUGCGUAUCAAACUCCACAUUGCGACAAGCUGGGUCGCUUGCAUUAUCUCAACCAAAGAAAAGAGGUUCUCAGCUGCCUUUUUCGUCAGACCGCACGUUACGCUCUAAGGGGAUUUAGCUAAGGCGCUCUGGAAUAGAUUUGAGAGUGUCCUAGGAGAUUUGGAUAUGGUGUCCACGUUGAGACACGUGCUGUUAUGGUGGUGGCUGCGUAAGGGGCACAACGUGUAUCUCAGGUUCGUUUAUCGUACAUUACCUAUGCUCAUCUGCUGGGAAUUAUGGAAAGCGAGAAACAGGGGACUGUUUGAUGGAAGGAAGGUGGCGUGGACGGAGGUGGCAAAUCAGGGAUUAGAGGUCGGGGAUCGAACGAGGGAACUUAGAGAUUUAUCAUGAAGACUUUAGCAUUGUAAUUAGUAUCUUAAUAAGGUAGGCAUUUUGUAUCGAUCGAAGUAUUGUAAAAGAAUGUGAACGGUUGGUUUUGGUUUAUCGAAAUGUUAUCUCUGGGGUUAAUGGAAAUUAUCAAAUGGUUAUCUCUGAAAUUAAUG